UCUGAUGAUGGCAUGGAAUCUUUGAGACCUGAUAAUCGUUGUGAUGAAAGUGACAAGCUUAUUUUCUGAGGAU